rnacentral:lncRNA from 1 species
GAGUGUCCUCAGGAGACAGACCAAGGAAGACGCCGUUGGUGAUGGCCUCAACGCAGUGGUGACCUCAUCGUCAUGGGAACGAGACCCGGGGGGGGGGGCUCCCCGCAAUCCGUGACCCUCCGUGUCGUCAAUUGAAGGCAGGCCCUGGGCACACCAAAGAACCCGGGCCGAUGAUGGCUUCCGACUGAGUUUCAGAAAGAAAAUGACAAGCUCCAGGCUUUACACUCUUUAAACGCUCAGAUCAAAGUUUCCUUGGAGAACCAGAGAUCCACGGGGGCCCUAAAGAAAUGUCCUGCCUUUGGUAGCGACAGAGAAGACACAGUGGGAAAUCAGCUCCAAAUGGAAUCCAGCACUGCAGCCUGACCCUGUGGGCGGCAGUUACAAGGUCUGCUGAGCCCCAGAUCCCACCCACGAAAUCAACAGGGCAUUGCCCGAAAACAAGAAGGCGAAUCUGAGCACCUGGAGCCCACAAAUCCCCCCCUCCAGCCCCCACACCCCUGCUCAUCCCGGCAGCCUCUGGUCUGUGUUUGGGGAAAUGAACUCGCCCUCCCCUGAGAUCCUCAUGACAGAUGCAGAGGCCACGGUUCCUACCGCACUUAGGUGUCCUGGGCGGGAGGCAGGACGAACUUGGGAAUGACCGACCUUGAGCGAUCAUCAACUGGCCCAGGGGGUGGCUGCAGAUGCACCUGCUAUUCCAUAUCUUUCCCCAGAAGUAAAAGUCAGCACAGCUCUUGGAACUGCGGGCGACAAUUAUUGUUCUGGCAACUACCAAAAGGAGCUGCUUUAACUCAGCAGGCCCAGCAGGAGGCCCGUCUUCCCUCGGGCUGGGUCAGCUCCCCUGCUAGGACAUAAUCCAGGCUGGAGGGACUUGGCCACUUAGCAUCACAAGCCACAUCAUGCUGAUCCGCCAGCCGGAUGACAUCCUGCAGACUGGACCUGAUGACAUCCUGCAGACUGGACCUGAUGACAUCCUGCAGACUGGACCUGAUGACAUCCUGCAGACUGGACCUGCGGAGCAGGGAUGGGCUUCAGCUGAGAAGAAGGCAGGGCAGGUUCUGGGGUCUGACAUUCUGGGGACUCCUGGAUAUCACGGCCUUCCCAUUAGAGGCACGGCCCUCUGCAGGCUUCCUGGAUCUUGGAAGCAGCAUAACCCACAUAACUCCACCUUAGUGUGUGAUGCUGCAAACAAUUUUUACAGAUUGCAAAUCUGUAAAACUGAUGAUUUGGAGUGAGACCCAAGGUAAGAAAGGCCCUGCAGAAAGACCAGGCUGUGUGUUGGCCACUCUGCCCUGGGCCUCAGGCCCGAGCAGUUAAUGAUCC